rnacentral:rRNA from 1 species
UACGGGGGGGGUAAGCGUUGUUCGGAAUUACUGGGCGUAAAGGGCUCGUAGGCGGCCAACUAAGUCAUACGUGAAAUCCCUCAGCUUAACUGGGGAACUGCGUGUGAUACUGGAUGGCUUGGAUUUGGGAGAGGGAUGCGGAAUUCCCGGUGUAGCGGUGAAAUGCGCAGAUAUCGGGAGGAACACCAAUGGCGAAGGCAGCUCGCUGGGACGGUACGUGACGCUGAGACGCGAAAGCGUGGGGAGCAAACAGGG